UGAAUAUUUAAACAUUUUAAAAAGUUAGAAAGUACCGAGUUAGAGUUUGCUGCAAGUAGACAAAGAAAUUUAAGUCUGUUUGAGUCAGUUUGAGUUCUCUUCGUGGAAACCAGACGCUUCUUAAUAAAUACGUGAAACCGGGAGGGCCGUUUGAGCGUCGAAAAGGAGGAGCAGCGUUGGAGGGAAUAGCGACGUUUUAAGACCUUAAAUUCUAGAUUUAUAUCGUGAAACGCCAGGCAAAGC
rnacentral:misc_RNA from 1 species